rnacentral:rRNA from 1 species
UACAGGGGGGGCAAGCGUUGUCCGGAUUUACUGGGCGUAAAGAGCGCGCAGGCGGUCGGUCAAGUCGAGUGUGAAAGCCCCCGGCUCAACUGGGGAGGGUCAUUCGAUACUGAUCGACUCGAAGGCAGGAGAGGGUAGUGGAAUUCCCGGUGUAGUGGUGAAAUGCGUAGAUAUCGGGAGGAACACCAGUGGCGAAGGCGACUACCUGGCCUGUUCUUGACGCUGAGGCGCGAAAGCUAGGGGAGCAAACGGG